rnacentral:rRNA from 1 species
CGGCGAGUGAAGCGGCAACAGCUCAAAUUUGAAAUCUGGAGUCUUUGUUGGCUUCCGAGUUGUAAUUUGCAGAGGGAGCCUCGGAGGGCUGGUCGGUCCAAGUGCCUUGGAACAGGAUACCGCAGAGGGUGAGAGUCCCGUAUCCGGCCGACGCAGUGCUCCGUGUGAGGCCUCUUCGACGAGUCGAGUUGUUUGGGAAUGCAGCUCUAAGUGGGUGGUAAAUUCCAUCUAAAGCUAAAUACUGGCCAGAGACCGAUAGCGAACAAGUAGAGUGAUCGAAAGAUGAAAAGCACUUUGAAAAGAGAGUUAAACAGUACGUGAAAUUGUUGAAAGGGAAGCGCAUGGGGGCAGACUUGGACGCGGGGUUCAGGGUCUCUUUUUUGGAGGCGUGUACUUCCCCGCGGACAGGCCAGCAUCGGUUCUGGGGGCCGGACAAAGGCGACGGGAACGUGGCUCUCUUCGGGGAGUGUUAUAGCCCGACGUGCAAUGCGGCC